GUUCAAGUGGUUGAGUUUGUUUGUAACUUUCAUUGAGUUUGGUUGGGUACGAUAGAGGAGAAACAGAGCUUCUCUCCUACCACACUAGUCGCGCGAGUCUUACGAGAAGACCACCACUAGUUCUGCGCUGCAGAGAGCACUAACUCCUCACAGAGUUAGCAACUCCAGCUCGAGCCUGAGCUCUCGCUUGUUGUCACUCGACUAACGUCGAUGUCAACAGGUAAUGAUCCUUCCGCAGGUUCACCUACGGAAA
rnacentral:misc_RNA from 1 species